rnacentral:lncRNA from 1 species
GCUGACCUCUGGACACAACAGGAUAGCCGUACUUAGGGAUUCAUAGCAGUUGUGACAUCAUGAACCACACAGACCCAUGCAAGCUCAAUCCAGACAAAAUCUCAGCAUGGAAGGGCAGAGCUAGAUAGACGUCCCACCCCCCCAGCUAAGGCGCUAUUGGCAACUGGUAGCUGUUCAUGGACAGAAGAGCCUGUUUUCUUUAAGAGUGUAGCACCUGAUAUACGAUGCAAUGAAAGAAAUUAAGCAUCGCAGAGCACACCCUGCAUGAUUUCAUUUACAUGGAGACUGGAAAGAAAGCAAUUGUGAAGGAGGUCAGAAGGAAAGGAUUUCCUGAAGGAUCUCGGCCCAGAGGGUCAUGCUGGGAGUCUUCGCAACUUCACACACUUGAUGCUCUUGAAGGACAGAAUACAGCACGUGUGUCCUGGGGUUCACAUUGAGAUCAGCUCCCUCUGUGAGGAAGGACUUUGAUACCAGUCCACUUGUCCCAAAAUGCAUCGUCUGGAGUCUCAGGCGCUCUGUCUGUGAGUGAGGUAAAAAUAAA